ACCUGGCAUAUAGUGUAGGAUUCUGUGUGUGUCAGUCUACAGCUACAUUGUCUGCUGGGUUUC
rnacentral:pre_miRNA from 1 species